AACGAACGCUGGCGGCGCGCCUAAUACAUGCAAGUCGAGCGAGAAGACGUAGCAAUACGUUUGUAAAGCGGCGAACGGGUGAGGAAUACAUGGGUAACCUACCCUCGAGUGGGGAAUAACUAGCCGAAAGGUUAGCUAAUACCGCGUACGCUCCUUGGACUUCGGUUCAGGGAGGAAAGCGAUACCGUGGGUAUCGCGCUCUUGGAUGGGCUCAUGUCCUAUCAGCUUGUUGGUGAGGUAACGGCUCACCAAGGCUUCGACGGGUAGCUGGUCUGAGAGGACGAUCAGCCACACUGGCACUGCGACACGGGCCAGACUCCUACGGGAGGCAGCAGUAAGGAAUAUUGCGCAAUGGGCGAAAGCCUGACGCAGCGACGCCGCGUGGGGGAUGAAGGUCUUCGGAUUGUAAACCCCUUUCGGGAGGGAAGAUGGAACGAGCAAUCGUUCGGACGGUACCUCCAGAAGCAGCCACGGCUAACUUCGUGCCAGCAGCCGCGGUAAAAC
rnacentral:rRNA from 1 species